AGCGAACGCUAGCGGCGGGCCUAACACAUGCAAGUCGAGCGCAUACCUUCGGGUAUGAGCGGCGGACGGGUGAGUAACGCGUAGGUCAUCUACCCUUUGGUGGGGGAUAACCCAGGGAAACUUGGGCUAAUACCGCACGAGGUCCACGGAUCAAAGCCUUCGGGCGCCAGAGGAUGAGCCUGCGUCGCAUUACCUAGUUGGCGGGGUAACGGCCCACCAAGGGGACGAUGCGUAGCUGGUCUGAGAGGAUGAUCAGCCACACUGGGACUGAGACACGGCCCAGACUCCUACGGGAGGCAGCAGUGGGGAAUAUUGCGCAAUGGGGGAAACCCUGACGCAGCCACGCCGCGUGGGUGAUGAAGGCCUUCGGGUUGUAAAGCCCUGUCGGGAGGGACGGAAUUCUUGACGGUACCUCCAAAGAAAGACACCGGCUAACUCCGUGCCAGCAGCCGCGGUAAU
rnacentral:rRNA from 1 species